rnacentral:rRNA from 1 species
AGAGUUUGAUCCUGGCUCAGAAUCAACGCUGGCGGCGUGCCUAACACAUGCAAGUCGGACGCGAAAGUCUCCGCAAGGGGGCGAGUAGAGUGGCGGACGGGUGAGUAACACGUGGGUGACCUGCCCGGCUGAGGGGGAUAACUUUUCGAAAGGGAAGCUAAUACCGCAUGAGCUCUCGGUAGCGAUAUUGAGAGGAAAGCCGAAAGGCGCAGCUGGAGGGGCCCGCGCUCGAUUAGCUAGUUGGUGAGGUAAUGGCUCACCAAGGCUCCGAUCGAUAGCCGGUCUGAGAGGACGGACGGCCACACUGGAACUGAGACACGGUCCAGACUCCUACGGGAGGCAGCAGUGGGGAAUUUUGCGCAAUGGGCGAAAGCCUGACGCAGCAACGCCGCGUGGAGGAUGAAGGUUUUCGGAUCGUAAACUCCUGUCCUCAGGGAAGAAGAAAGUGACGGUACCUGGGGAGGAAGCCCCGGCUAACUCCGUGCCAGCAGCCGCGGUAAUACGGGGGGGGCAAGCGUUGUUCGGAAUUACUGGGCGUAAAGGGCGCGUAGGCGGUCUGGGAAGUUCUGGGUGAAAGCCCCCGGCUCAACCGGGGAAGUGCCUGGAAAACCACUGGGCUGGAGUGCUGGAGAGGGAAGCGGAAUUCCUGGUGUAGCGGUGAAAUGCGUAGAGAUCAGGAGGAACAUCGGCGGCGAAGGCGGCUUCCUGGACAGACACUGACGCUGAGGCGCGAAAGCCAGGGGAGCAAACAGGAUUAGAUACCCUGGUAGUCCUGGCUGUAAACGAUGACGACUUGGUGU